rnacentral:misc_RNA from 1 species
UGGCUCUCGCAUCGAUGAAGAACGCAGCGAAAUGCGAUAAGUAAUGUGAAUUGCAGAAUUCAGUGAAUCAUCGAAUCUUUGAACGCACCUUGCGCCUUUUGGUAUUCCAAAAGGCAUGCCUGUUUGAGUGUCAUGUAGACUCAACCUCCAAGGUUUUUUUGACCUUGUUGGCUUGGAUUUGGGCGCCUGCCUCUGGCUCGCCUUAAAAGUGUUAGUGGGAUAAACCAAAAGCCCGAUGUAAUAAGUUUCAUCUGGUUGAGGUGACGCCUGCUUACAACCCCAUCUUUCUGACUCUGACCUCAAAUCAGGUAGGACUACCCGCUGA